rnacentral:rRNA from 1 species
GAGUUUGAUCCUGGCUCAGGAUGAACGCUGGCGGCGUGCCUAACACAUGCAAGUCGAGCGAUCUUCUUCGGAAGAGAGCGGCGGACGGGUGAGUAACGCGUGGGUAACCUGCCUCAUACACAUGGAUAACAUACCGAAAGGUAUGCUAAUACAAGAUGAUAUAAGAGAUUCGCAUGGAUUUCUUAUCAAAGCUCCGGCGGUAUGAGAUGGACCCGCGUCUGAUUAGCUAGUUGGUAAGGUAAUGGCUUACCAAGGCGACGAUCAGUAGCCGACCUGAGAGGGUGAUCGGCCACAUUGGAACUGAGACACGGUCCAAACUCCUACGGGAGGCAGCAGUGGGGAAUAUUGCACAAUGGGCGAAAGCCUGAUGCAGCAACGCCGCGUGAGCGAUGAAGGCCUUCGGGUCGUAAAGCUCUGUCCUCAAGGAAGAUAAUGACGGUACUUGAGGAGGAAGCCCCGGCUAACUACGUG